rnacentral:lncRNA from 1 species
UAUGCACACCUCACCGAGGGUUGCGUACACACUGUUUGAGAGAACCCAGGCAAGCCCCCUCUGGAGGAGACACGGUUUAAUGGGGAUGAUGGGGUUUGUGGCUCACUCCAUCCAGAAGGCUCUAGGUUGAGGGGUGGCUGGUUAUGGGAGGGAACGGGAAUCCCAUCCUUAUUGCAAAGAAUAGGCAGGGGUUAGUUAUCAGACCAACAGGUCUGGAGGAAAUUUGUGGUCGGCUGGGGGGAAGAGAGAAGGAAAGGUAAGGAUCUUGUCCAUGUCAGCACAGCUAAACUUCCUCCCACCUGGUCCCCCAUCCCUGCUUCUAUUCCCCAAAGGACUGGCUCUCCCGGGGUCCCCCGCUGCCUCCCGAUGGAGCCGGCACACAUUCAAGGAGGAGUUACUACAGCGGGCAGGGUGCUGGUAGCCAGGUGAGCACCCCUCUGCCUCUCUGGGGUGCAAGAAGACAGACGGAACCACUCCUUGAACGGUGGGACCCGGGAGGUUUCGCCGCCCCGCUUGGGGAGCAGUUUUCGGGAACGGUGGCAGAGCUGGAACGCAAAUACCGUGUGCUUCGGAGGAGGCUCUGCGCCGAGAUGUUGCAGGCGCAUUAUGGUGAGCUGUGACGGGCCAAGGUCGUGAGAUUCCCCUCUUUUUGCUCUGGGGAGAAUUAUGCUAGACAGGAGCGCCACUUCUCCUGCGGUGGACUUCCCCGGGGGGGGGUGUCCUUGUCUGCUUUUGCUCUUCCUCCCUAGAACCUGUGGCCCAACCUGGCCUCGCUCUGGACAUCCCAGGCUGAAAACAGCCCCCCACCCCGCCCUCCAGAAAGCAGAGCCAUUUCCCCUGGUGAGGGAGAGCUGAGCGGGACCUCUCCGUCCACCCUCCCCAAACGUCGGCCUCUCAGGGCUCCUGGAUUCUCUUGCAGGGCAGCCAGCCUGGGAUUCUCUGUCGCCAAAUGAGAAGGAGGACAAGCUAUCAGAGCUGGCGAUGCUGGUGGACUUCAGCCUGCGCGAGGGGAGCCUGUUGUCCCUGAACAGCCUGCCGGGGGCCCUCCACCCUCUUAGCUCUGGGACUCAAACCUUCAAGGGGGACCCUGCCGUGGCCCCCCAUGACCUCUUGGCCACGGGAGAGGGCACCGCAGCCCAUGCCCUGCAGCUGCUCCAGGGCAAGAGACAGGCAGAGGUGGCAUCCUUGAUGACCCAGCGGCGCCUCCUGGUGGGCAGGUGAGACCUCUCGGAAGGACGGCACCUUGCCACAGAAAAGUGUACCAGAGUGCAGCUGCCA